GCGCGAUUAGCUCAGGGGGAGAGCACUACCUUGACACGGUAGGGGUCAUAAGUUCAAAUCUUAUAUCGCGCACCA
rnacentral:tRNA from 1 species